rnacentral:rRNA from 1 species
GUGGGGAAUAUUGGACAAUGGGCGAAAGCCUGAUCCAGCCAUGCCGCGUGUGUGAAGAAGGUCUUCGGAUUGUAAAGCACUUUAAGUUGGGAGGAAGGGCAGUAAGUUAAUACCUUGCUGUUUUGACGUUACCAACAGAAUAAGCACCGGCUAACUUCGUGCCAGCAGCCGCGGUAAUACGAAGGGUGCAAGCGUUAAUCGGAAUUACUGGGCGUAAAGCGCGCGUAGGUGGUUCAGCAAGUUGAAGGUGAAAUCCCCGGGCUCAACCUGGGAACUGCCUCCAAAACUGCAUGACUAGAGUACGGUAGAGGGUAGUGGAAUUUCCUGUGUAGCGGUGAAAUGCGUAGAUAUAGGAAGGAACACCAGUGGCGAAGGCGACUACCUGGACUGAUACUGACACUGAGGUGCGAAAGCGUGGGGAGCAAACAGGAUUAGAAACCCGUGUAGUCC